UACAGAGGGUGCGAGCGUUGUUCGGAAUUAUUGGGCGUAAAGGGCGCGUAGGCGGUGCGGUAAGUCACCUGUGAAAUCUCCUGGCUCAACUGGGAGCUUGCAGGCGAAACUGCCGUGCUGGAGUGUGGGAGAGGUGCGUGGAAUUCCCGGUGUAGCGGUGAAAUGCGUAGAUAUCGAGAGGAACACCGGUGGCGAAGGCGGCCAACUGGACGAAUACUGACGCUGAGACACGAAAGCGUGGGGAGCAAACAGG
rnacentral:rRNA from 1 species